rnacentral:misc_RNA from 1 species
CUGGAAACUAGAGUACAAGUUACUGCAGCUUGAAAAAUUAACUCAAUUACACAGGCGAUAUAAAUAUAAGAAUAGAUCAUCAGAUUUUUCUCAGCAAAACAUUCAUUUCCCAAUAUUGCUGUGUAUUUUACUUCAGUGACCACCGAAUAUUACAAAAGCCUUAAAUAGUUCCUUUCAAAAGGGAAGGGGGAGAAGGUAAAUAAGAGAUGGCAGAACCUGAUGAUUUAACAAAACCACACCCCCCCUUCCCCACCUUCAAAAGGGAAGGGUGAAAAGAACAUGCUUAAGAGAUCAACAUGGACGCCUAUGCCUCUCCCACUACAUAUUCUACA